rnacentral:rRNA from 1 species
AGCAGUCGCCGCGGGAAUACGGAGGGUGCAAGCGUUAAUCGGAAUUACUGGGCGUAAAGCGCACGCAGGCGGUUUGUUAAGUCAGAUGUGAAAUCCCCGGGCUCAACCUGGGAACUGCAUCUGAUACUGGCAAGCUUGAGUCUCGUAGAGGGGGGUAGAAUUCCAGGUGUAGCGGUGAAAUACGUAGAGAUCUGGAGGAAUACCGGUGGCGAAGGCGGCCCCCUGGACGAAGACUGACGCUCAGGUGCGAAAGCGUGGGGAGCAAACAGGAUUAGAUACCCCUGUAGUCCCUGUCUCUUAUAC